GCCAUUUUGAAACGAACAGACUGCAAAAGCACGCUCCACUGGGCCUGCCCCUGCGAUCUUAAACAGAUUUCCGUGAAAUGUGACCCAUGAAUAGCAGUUAUCUGGAGAGAGAGCUCUGAAGCCGAUGAAACCAGUAGAGCCACUGAAAGCACCUGGUAAAUGCGAUGCGGGGAGUACAGAAGAGAGAAUCAGAAACACACCAGCGCUCUCAUUCCCAUGAGGCCACUUACAGUGGGUAAAACAUCGCCUGAGAAGAGCGGCCUAAAAACAAGAACGUCUGCCCUCUUCCUUCUUAACCAAGACUGAGAUGAGGACAAGUCAGAUCCUUCAGACCCAUCGUUUCAGAGACCAGCAGCUCCAGCCUGAAUGAGAAGCACGUCCUCCUGGGAGUUACAUCAGCAGCCUGGCCUUCCAUCUUCCUCCUCUAAAGAAACGUUCCUGCCACCCUGAGCAUCAAGCCCUCAGGUUCCUAAAGCCCAAGACAUUUCUUCUCAUUUACUUCCCUCGAGGAAGAAAGACCAGCCCAUCCACCCUCAUUUCCCACCCAAGGGCACCGCAAAUGAAGCUUGCCUGCCCAACCAGGCCACCACCAUUAAUUUCUCUGCCCUGCUCUUACAUUCUCCUCAAGGUUUUCAAUCCCCUAGAGAGGCUCCCUUCCCUCUUUUCUUUCCCCGUCUUUCUUUUUUCCUUCCUCCAGCCCCCCUUUUCACCUCCCUCCACCAUUGUUUGAGGUUAAGAAGCAUGCUACGGUGUUCUAUAAAUUACUUGGCAAGAGUAGACGACAAAAACAAAAUAUAAUUCAGAUUAAAGUCAUCCUCCCGCUGAAAUGAUAGUUUAUUAAAUAAAUGGCGAUGCUGCCUA
rnacentral:lncRNA from 1 species